UACGUAGGGACCAAGCGUUGUUCGGAUUUACUGGGCGUAAAGGGCGCGUAGGCGGCCCCACAAGUCACUUGUGAAAUCUCCGGGCUUAACCCAGGAACUGCGUCCGAUACUGGUUGGCUUGAAUCCGGGAGAGGGAUGUGGAAUUCCAGGUGUAGCGGUGAAAUGCGUAGAUAUCUGGAGGAACACCGGUGGCGAAGGCGACAUCCUGGACCGGUAUUGACGCUGAGGCGCGAAAGCCAGGGGAGCAAACGGG
rnacentral:rRNA from 1 species